rnacentral:rRNA from 1 species
UACGAACCGUGCAACCGUUGCUCGGAAUCACUGGGCUUAAAGGGCGCGUAGGCGGGCUCGCCAGUCAGGGGUGAAAGCCCACAGCUCAACUGUGGAAGUGCCUUUGAUACUGCGAGUCUCGAGGGAGGUAGGGGCGUGCGGAACUUCCGGUGGAGCGGUGAAAUGCGUAGAUAUCGGAAGGAACACCGGUGGCGAAAGCGGCGCGCUGGACCUCUUCUGACGCUGAGGCGCGAAAGCCAGGGGAGCAAACGGG